rnacentral:rRNA from 1 species
AUACGUAGGGGGCUAGCGUUAUCCGGAAUUACUGGGCGUAAAGGGUGCGUAGGUGGUUUCUUAAGUCAGAAGUGAAAGGCUACGGCUCAACCGUAGUAAGCUUUUGAAACUAAGAGACUUGAGCGCAGGAGAGGAGAGUAGAAUUCCUAGUGUAGCGGUGAAAUGCGUAGAUAUUAGGAGGAAUACCAGUUGCGAAGGCGGCUCUCUGGACUUUAACUGACACUGAGGCACGAAAGCGUGGGGAGCAAACAGGAUUAGAUACCCUGGUAGUCCACGCCGUAAACGAUGAGUACUAGCUGUCGGGGGUUACCCCCCUCGGUGGCGCAGCUAACGCAUUAAGUACUCCGCCUGGGAAGUACGCUCGCGAGAGUGAAACUCAAAUGAAUUGACGGGG